UGUAUACGCCGGCCAGCAUUGCUUGAAUAUCAUGAACAAACUUAUUUCCUGUUGCCAGCAUGAUUGCAAGCUUCUUUCGAGAAUUGUUCAGGGGCUUUUGGGGCAGCCCAUCAAUAUUGGUAGGAUUGAGUUAUUUGUUCCUCGCAUGACCACGUUGGCCCUCGCUUUUUUAACUUUUUUGCGUUUUUUUUUUGAAGAAGCAUGUAAGCACUACUUGGACAUUAUAAAAGACUUUUUUAGAGCUCUUCAAAGUGAGAAUGCAACUUGUCUAUCCGUUGCUCUUCAGUCCUUUCACUCCCUAUUGACCGGAACCCCUUUUGUUAAAUUUCAGAAAAUAAAUGAAACUAUGUUGAAGGACGUCGUCGCCAC